rnacentral:rRNA from 1 species
CCUACGGGUGGCAGCAGUGAGGAAUAUUGGUCAAUGGCCGGAAGGCUGAACCAGCCAUGCCGCGUGAAGGUCAGUGCCCUAUGGGCGUUAAACUUCUUUUGUGCGGGAGCAAAGAGAGUCACGUGUGACUCAUUGAGAGUACCCGAAGAAAAAGCAUCGGCUAACUCCGUGCCAGCAGCCGCGGUAAUACGGAGGAUGCGAGCGUUAUCCGGAUUUAUUGGGUUUAAAGGGUGCGCAGGCGGAGGUGUAAGUCAGCGGUAAAAUUGCGGGGCUCAACCCCGUACUGCCGUUGAAACUGGAUGUCUUGAGUGCGCGAGAAGUAUGCGGAAUGCGUGGUGUAGCGGUGAAAUGCAUAAAUAUCACGCAGAACUCCGAUUGCGAAGGCAGCAUACCGGCGCGCAACUGACGCUCAUGCACGAAAGCGUGGGUAUCGAACAGGAUUAGAUACCCCAGUAGUC